GAUGAACGCUGGCGGCGUGCUUAACACAUGCAAGUCGAACGGUGAAGCAGGAGCUUGCUCCUGUGGAUCAGUGGCGAACGGGUGAGUAACACGUGAGCAAUCUGCCCUGGACUCUGGGAUAAGCGUUGGAAACGACGUCUAAUACCGGAUACGAGGCGUGGGGGCAUCCCCAACGCCUGGAAAGUGCUUAGCGGUCAAGGAUGGGCUCGCGGCCUAUCAGCUAGUUGGUGAGGUAACGGCUCACCAAGGCUUCGACGGGUAGCCGGCCUGAGAGGGCGACCGGCCACACUGGGACUGAGAUACGGCCCAGACUCCUACGGGAGGCAGCAGUGGGGAAUAUUGCACAAUGGGCGCAAGCCUGAUGCAGCAACGCCGCGUGCGGGAUGACGGCCUUCGGGUUGUAAACCGCUUUCAGUUCCGACGAAGCGCAAGUGACGGUAGGAACAGAAGAAGGACCGGCCAACUACGUGCCAGCCGCCGCGGUAAUAC
rnacentral:rRNA from 1 species